GCUCAGUACGUUCUCAUGGACCCGGUGCACAGAAGAAUUGCCCGGGCUGAUAUUAGAUUAAGGGGUUUCCCGCCAAUAUUGCUCUAUGCUUCUCCCAGUUCGCGCCAUGAAAUUCCUCUCGUCCAGGUCGUCCCCUCUCUCUCUCUCUCUCUCCCCUCACCUCGGCGAUCCCGACCUUUCACUCACUCACUGCUUCCAUCUCCUCCCUCUCUCUCUUUCUUCGACUCUCGGCGACCUCUUCAUGCGCCGCAGCUGCUCCCGCUACCGAAGCGGCCGUCUAAUUGCUUGGCUGAAGUGAAAGAGACAAUGACUCGGGAAGAAUGCGAGAAUGGUCCUGCAGACAUGUUGAUCGACGGGAACAAGGCGAGAGCUCCUCGAGAGAAGCAAGGGAAUUCUGUUCCCGACAAGUUCAACUCCAAUUACCUCAAAUUCUACUAUGGAAAGCUUUUUCCUUUCUCUGAUAUCUUCAAAUGGAUGUCCUAUGGAAAUGAUGGGAAGCAUCCUGGCUGUGAUCAGACCUACUUCGGGCGUAGAGAGUUCUCUUUUACCUUGGAUAAUGACAUUUACUUGCGUUUCCAGUCCUUCACCAGUGCAGCUGAGCUUGAGAGUUCCAUCCAAGAAAAGUGCCCUUUCAAAAUAGACAUCGGACCAGUUUAUAGCGUCGAUCCUGCUAAGAGGCAUGCAUAUGCACAAUCUGGUGAUAAUGUUUUCACUCCAGUGGAGAGGGAACUCAUUUUUGAUAUAGAUAUGUCAGAUUACGAUGAUGUCAGAUAUUGCUGCUCUGGUGCUGAUGUUUGCUUGGAGUGCUGGCCAUUGAUGACUGUGGCUAUUAAAGUAAUUGAUACUGCCCUGAGAGAUGAUUUUGGUUUCAAUCACAUUCUCUGGGUAUAUAGUGGCCGACGUGGUGUUCAUUGCUGGGUUUGUGAUAGAAAAGCAAGAAGGUUAUCCAAUGAACAGAGGGCAUCCAUCGCCGAUUAUUUCCGUGUAUACAAAGGGAAUGAAAAUAGUGAUAAAAAGGUUUCCUUGACCAGUCCUGCUCUGCAUCCUUUUCUCGCGAGGUCAUAUACUGAGGUACUCGAGGGUAUCUUUGAGGAAAAAUUGCUUUUAAGCCAAAAUAUAUUAGCAACAGAGGAGAGAUAUGAGAAGAUCCUAGAUAUGAUUCCUGACGAAUCUGUUACUGCUGAACUGCGAGGCAAGUGGCAGGAGAAGCGGCAAUCAUCCAUUUCAAAUGACAUAAAUGUGGUUCGCUGGGAGCAGCUUAAACAACUGCUUCAGUCAGGAAAACAUAAGGGAAAGGGGCUGCGGAGGUACGUUGAAGAGAUUGUCUUCUCCUUCACCUAUCCCAGGCUUGAUAUGGAGGUCUCAAAACACAUGAACCAUUUACUAAAGGCCCCUUUCUGCGUGCAUCCAAAAACAGGUCGCGUUUGUGUUCCUAUUGACCCCAAUAGUUGUGAAGAGUUCGAUCCCACUGCAGUGCCAACCCUUUCCAUGCUUCUAGAAGAACUCAACCAGGGAGGCGUGAGAGGUGACGUGGGUGAUGAUCUGGACAGAACUUCACUUGGAAAGUCAAUUAGGUAUUUCAGAUCAUCAUUUUUGCAGCCUCUGCUGAAAUCUUGCAAGGAGGAGAUGGAGAGUUCUUAUAAUGCAAAACUACAGCAGAUGAAGAAUUCUCUGAGUUGGUAGCCUUUCUAAGUUGAGCUAUGAACCUGAUGAAGCACCAUCCUCUCCAUUGAUGAUCAUACUAAUUAGUAGUAGUAACCUAGUGCUUAAUUUAUGCGCACUUUGUGAUCAUCUCAAUGUGAUGUUUGUCACCGUGAUGAUUAGACAUGGAAUUCACUGAACCUUUGUAAGGACAAGGAAAGCGAACGGCCUCUGUCAGCAAGAGGUAUCGCUGUCUUCCGUUGAACUUGGGACCACGUGUAUCGUUGCACGUUGCUUUCUCGCCAUAAAGAGUGUGAGGAUGUGCUGUCGAAGUGAUUGUUAACUUUCGCAAUCGAACUGAUGAGGUACAAAUCCGGCCAUGGAAUACUUUGAGGUACAC